rnacentral:rRNA from 1 species
CCUACGGGUGGCAGCAGUGGGGGAUACUGCACAAUGGGGGAAACCCUGAUGCAGCGACGCCGCGUGGGUGAAGAAGCGCCUCGGCGCGUAAAGCCCUGUCAGCAGGGAAGCAAAUGACGGUACCUGAAGAAUAAGCCCCGUCUAACUACGUGCCAGCAGCCGCGGUAAUACGUAGGGGGCAAGCGUUAUCCGGAUUUACUGGGUGUAAAGGGGGCGCAGACGGCGGUGCAAGCCAGGAGUGAAAGCCCGGGGCCCAACCCCGGGACUGCUCUUGGAACUGCGUGGCUAGAGUGCAGGAGGGGCAGGCGGAAUGCCGGGUGUAGCGGUGAAAUGCGUAGAUAUCAGGAGGAACACCGGUGGCGAAGGCGGCCUGCUGGACUGCAACUGACGUUGAGGCCCGAAAGCGUGGGGAGCGAACAGGAUUAGAUACCCGAGUAGUC